rnacentral:rRNA from 1 species
AGUGAACGCUGGCGGCAGGCCUAACACAUGCAAGUCGAGCGGCAGCGGGUCCUUCGGGAUGCCGGCGAGCGGCGGACGGGUGAGGAAUGCGUCGGAAUCUGCCUUUUGGUGGGGGAUAACGUAGGGAAACUUACGCUAAUACCGCAUACGACCUACGGGUGAAAGUGGGGGACCGCAAGGCCUCACGCAGAAAGAUGAGCCGACGCCGGAUUAGCUAGUUGGCGGGGUAAAGGCCCACCAAGGCGACGAUCCGUAGCUGGUCUGAGAGGAUGAUCAGCCACACUGGAACUGAGACACGGCCCAGACUCCUACGGGAGGCAGCAGUGGGGAAUAUUGGACAAUGGGCGCAAGCCUGAUCCAGCCAUGCCGCGUGAGUGAAGAAGGCCUUCGGGUUGUAAAGCUCUUUUGUUGGGGAAGAAAAGCUUCGGAUUAAUACUUCGGAGUUCUGACGGUACCCAAAGAAUAAGCACCGGCUAACUUCGUGCCAGCAGCCGCGGUAAUACGAAGGGUGCAAGCGUUACUCGGAAUUACUGGGCGUAAAGCGUGCGUAGGUGGUUCGUUAAGUCUGAUGUGAAGCCCGGGGCUCAACCUGGGAACUUGCAUUUGGAUACCUGGCC